rnacentral:tRNA from 3 species
GGCGCCGUUGCUCUGCUGGUUAGGGGCGACCGGAUUUUCACUCCGGGUACAGCGCGGGUUCGAUUCCCGUCGGCGCUGC